rnacentral:tRNA from 1 species
GCCUAAAGGCCUUUAACACA